GUGGGGAAUAUUGCACAAUGGGCGAAAGCCUGAUGCAGCAACGCCGCGUGAGGGACGACGGCCUUCGGGUUGUAAACCUCUUUUAGUAGGGAAGAAGCGAAAGUGACGGUACCUGCAGAAAAAGCACCGGCUAACUACGUGCCAGCAGCCGCGGUAAUACGUAGGGUGCAAGCGUUAUCCGGAAUUAUUGGGCGUAAAGAGCUCGUAGGCGGUCUGUCGCGUCUGCUGUGAAAACUGGAGGCUCAACCUCCAGCCUACAGUGGGUACGGGCAGACUAGAGUGCGGUAGGGGAGAUUGGAAUUCCUGGUGUAGCGGUGGAAUGCGCAGAUAUCAGGAGGAACACCGAUGGCGAAGGCAGAUCUCUGGGCCGUAACUGACGCUGAGGAGCGAAAGCGUGGGGAGCGAACAGGAUUAGAAACCCGGGUAGUCC
rnacentral:rRNA from 1 species